GGGGAACUAGCUCAGAUGGUAGAGCGCUCGCUUAGCAUGUGAGAGGUACCGGGAUCGAUGCCCGGGUUCUCCA
rnacentral:tRNA from 1 species